rnacentral:tRNA from 1 species
GCCGAAGUGGUGAAACUGGUAUACACGCUACCUUGAGGUGGUAGUGGGGAAACCCGUGCGGGUUCGAGUCCCGCCUUCGGCACCA